ACUAUAUGAUGUAAACUGAAC
rnacentral:miRNA from 1 species